UUUGAUUUCAACUAUUUUCUCAAGAAUUUAAAAUAGAACAGAAGAUUGUAUUGUCGUGGUGCGACAUUCUGGUCUGUUUGUGGCUUUGUGUUUGUUUAUCUUUUGCUUAGUUGUUCUAUUUUGGUUUUUGUAUCAUGUUUGUUUAGUCCUCUUGUCUUCCUUGUAUUCUUGGGUUUUAAUUCUCAUUUAGUAUCUUUGUGUUUAAUUAUGGUUUGGUAUUGGUUCACCUUGCACUCUUCUUGUUUAAUAGUUUGUUCUCUGUUCCUCCUCGUCUUGGUUCCCUUUCUGUGUUUUAUUUUAUUCUGUGUUAGUUUCUAUAGUCCUAGUUCUCCCUCCUGUUAAGUCAGCCUUAGUUAUUCUUUACAUCUUAGUUUGUAUUUAUUUUAGUCCUCUCUUCCUCUGCUUCAUUCCCUGUUUGGGUCAGUCAGUGUUAAGUUUUGUUCACGUUUGUACUUUGGAUUUCUUUAUGGUUUCUUUGGAUAGAUCUUAGGUGUCACGGCCUUUCUGUUUCCAAGCCAAAAUAGUUCCAAAAAAAGGCCGUCGGUGGCAACAGGUGGUCUAGUUUCUUGAACGCACUUCCGACUUUAUUGUUUGAAACAUAUCCUUUUAUUUCUUGCAAAAUUAUAGGCAAAAUAAUAACCAAAAAAUUCUUACAACUUUGAUGUAAACAAAAAUUGGCUUAAACAGAUCUUACAAGGACAAAAAGUGGUCGAAAAGUGGUCAAAAAAUAAUUGUAAAAAACCUCCCGUCAUCACACCGGACAUUCUGAUUCAACAAGCGCCGCACAGUGUGUUCUUAAUGUCUUAAAUUACUGGGAGGGGCUUAAAAGUUACCAAAGAAAUCAUAAUAAUUCCAAACAAUUAAUUUCAUAUCAUCGUUCCAAACAAACUGAAAUAUAUUCUAACAACCUAUAAGUAAAUAGAACUUAUGAUUUACAAAAUUGAACAUAAAUGGCCACAACAUUAGGUUAUGUUGUUCUUUUGUUCCCUCUAGUUUCUCUGUUUACUUUAGUUAAUCAUUAUUCUAGGUUUUUAUGUUUCUUUGGUUAUUUAUAGUUUCAUUUAGAUCUGGUUCCCUGAUUCUUGUUUAUUCAGUCCUUUACUUAGAGUUUUGUUUUGUUAUGUUUUCCCCUGGAUUUAUGUUUAUGUCUAGUUCCUCCCGUGUUCCCUUUAUUUCUAGUUUGUUCUCCAUAGCAACUAUUCAUAGCCUCAGUUCUCUACUGCCUGGUCCACACCUGAUCUCUAUCGCUCCUGAUUACCUGCCUUGGUGUCUCAUUGGUUCUUACCUCACUCCACUCUAUUUAUUAGCUCCCUGGUUCUCUUUGUUCUUCGCUGGUUCCUCCAUCUUGUCACCCUCGCUCAUGUCUGUUCCGUCCACGACAGUACCAAUGCCUAAGUUUUGUGCUACGUUCCUGCAGUGACUCCAUUAGAUACGGGAUGCAGCUGUGGGACAAUACCUGUCUAAAUAUGGGCUGCGAGCAUCUGUUCCGCUUCUUUGUCCUUGGAUACACAGUGACGCAUAAUAUGCAUAAAUAAACACAUACUCUGAGUCAAUAUUGGAUCAUCUGUACUGUUCCUGUUCCUGUUGCCCCAGCUCUGAGACAGAGCACCCCCAUCAGCUAAGACUAAUGAUAAAUCAAGGAAACAAGAAGAAUAUAUGGGAACCCAUGUUGCAAACAUUUAUUAAGCUUGAAUCUUACCUUUGUACAUAGCAGAGUUCUGUGCUUGGUUAGGCAAAAAUGCUUGAUUUUGACAAUAUCACCAAGUACAAGCAGAUGUAGUAAGAAAAAAUUA